rnacentral:misc_RNA from 1 species
AACGGUCUAUACCUGCGGUACCUGCGGAAGGAUCAUUACUGUUAUUCAUCAUAAACACCCAGAGUUCAGACUUUUGUUUGAACUCUUUGUGUGUUUGCAAACAAAAACACCCUCGAAAACAGCUUUUUAGUGUCUGACAGAUAACUAGGUUAACUAGUUUAAUACAAAAACAACUUUUAGCAAUGGAUCUCU